AAACCCAUUUCAUAUCAAAUCUCUGGUCCUGUCAUUGUUCAAAAACCUUUGAACGUCCAAAACCAAGCAUUGGAAGUAAUUUGUAGAGAUGGGUACCUGCGUUCGCCUCCAUACUGCAUUACUUUCAUUGUUGAUCUUCCUCAGUUUAGGUUCAAGUAUUGCACGGACUCCAUAUUUUGAAGCAAACCAAGAAGACUAUGUACUGCAAAAUCAGGAGGAACAAAUACCCUACUUUUCAACUUCAAUAUCCAACACUCAACUGGACACAAUCCCCAUUGUGAAUCCAACCACCCCAGGCGGCGGCACAACUCCAACCCAGACCCCGAUUGUGGAUCCAACAUCACCGCCAGCACAAACAAUCCCUACCGGACCGACCAUAACGCCUACAACCCCAACCAUAACGCCCACAACCCCAACCAUAACACCCACAACCCCAACAACCACAGGCGGUGGAAGUUGGUGCAUAGCAAGUUCAAGUGCUUCCCCAACCGCUUUGCAGGUAGCUCUUGACUAUGCUUGCGGAUAUGGGGGCGCGGAUUGCUCGGCAAUUCAAACGGGAGGUAGUUGCUUUGAGCCCAACACUAUGCGAGACCAUGCUUCUUAUGCCUUCAACCAGUACUACCAGAAGAAUCCAGCACCCACAAGCUGCGUGUUUGGAGGAACUGCGCAGCUCACCAGCACAGACCCAAGCAGUGGAAAUUGUCGCUACGCAGCAUCAAGAUCAACGCCGAGUAAAUGGGUUUCGGCGGGUCUUGGAAAGCAAACUCCGAUUCCGAUUGCCGAGUUUAUAGGAAUUAAGAAGAUAUGGCGGUGCCGUUGCUGACGAAGAAGAUCGUUAAGAAGCGGGUUAAGCAGUUCAAAAGGCCCCAGAGUGACCGCAAGAUCUCUGUCAAAACAAACUGGCGUAGACCAAAGGGUAUUGAUUCUCGUGUUCGACGGAAGUUCAAAGGAUGCACUUUGAUGCCAAACAUUGGUUAUGGUACUGACAAGAAGACCCGUCAUUAUCUUCCUAAUGGAUUCAAGAAGUUCGUUGUGCACAACGUGAAGGAGCUUGAACUGUUGAUGAUGCACAAUAGGACUUACUGUGCUGAGAUUGCACAUGAUGUGUCCACAAGAAAGAGGAAGGAGAUUGUGGAGAGAGCUGCCCAGCUCGAUGUAGUUGUCACCAACAAGCUUGCUAGGUUGCGCAGCCAGGAGGAUGAAUGAGCCUAGAUUCUCUUUUUGUUUCAUUAGUGCUGUCUUUUUAAUACCGUUCCAUGAAUUUGACAUCGCCUCAGAAUUGGCUUGCUGAAUUUCUAUUCUGUUGGAUGUCUUUUUAUUCGACUGUGAUUUCUAAUUCCAUUUGUCAUUUUUGGUUAUUCA